AACCUACCAAGACGGCGACGAGUAGCCGGCCUGAGAGGGUGGACGACCACAUUAGGGCUGAGACCGGCGCAGACUCCUACGGGAGGCAGCAGUGGGGAAUAUUGCACAAUGGGCGGAAGCCUGAUGCAGCGACGCCGCGUGGGGGAUGACGGCCUUCAGGUAAUAAACUCCUUUCACCAUCGACGAAGGGUUUCUGACGGUAGAUGGAGAAGAAGCACCGGCUAACUAAGUGCCAGCAGCCGCGGUAAUACGUAGGGUGCGAGCGUUGUCCGGAAUUACUGGGCGUAAAGAGCUCGUAGGUGGUUUGUCGCGUCGUCUGUGAAAUUCCGGGGCUUAACUCCGGGCGUGCAGGCGAUACGGGCAUAACUUGAGUACUGUAGGGGAGACUGGAAUUCCUGGUGUAGCGGUGAAAUGCGCAGAUAUCAGGAGGAACACCGGUGGCGAAGGCGGGUCUCUGGGCAGUAACUCACGCUAAAAAGCGAAAGCAUGGGGAGCGAACAGG
rnacentral:rRNA from 1 species